GGAGGUAGUGACAAUAAAUAUCAAUGCGGGGCACACAGUGACUUGCUUGGAAUGAGAACAAUUUAAAUCCCUUAACGAGGAUCGAUUGGAGGGCAAGUCUGGUGCCAGCAGCCGCGGUAAUUCCAGCUCCAAUAGCGUAUAUUAAAGUUGUUGCAGUUAAAAAGCUCGUAGUUGGAUUUCUGGUCUGAGCGUCCGGUCCGCCGCUGUGCGGUGUGUACUUGGUUCGACUCGGGCCUUCCUUGUAGGGAAUGUUUCUGGCAUUAAUUUGUCGGGGGCGGGAACUGCAUCGUUUACUGUGAAAAAAUUAGAGUGUUUAAAGCAGGCAUUUGCUGUGAAUACAUUAGCAUGGAAUAAUAAGAUAGGACUUUGGUUCUAUUUUGUUGGUUGGAGGCCAAGGUAAUGAUUAAUAGGGAUAGUUGGGGGUAUUCAUAUUUAAUUGUCAGAGGUGAAAUUCUUGGAUUUAUGAAAGAUGAACUUAUGCGAAAGCAUUUACCAAGGAUGUUUUCCUUAAUCAAGAACGAAAGUUAGGGGAUCGAA
rnacentral:rRNA from 1 species